UGGGGAAUAUUGCACAAUGGGCGCAAGCCUGAUGCAGCGACGCCGCGUGAGUGAAGAAGUAUUUCGGUAUGUAAAGCUCUAUCAGCAGGGAAGAAAAUGACGGUACCUGACUAAGAAGCUCCGGCUAAAUACGUGCCAGCAGCCGCGGUAAUACGUAUGGAGCAAGCGUUAUCCGGAUUUACUGGGUGUAAAGGGAGCGUAGACGGGACAGCAAGUCUGAUGUGAAAGGCGGGGGCUCAACCCCUGGACUGCAUUGGAAACUGUUGGCCUUGAGUGCCGGAGAGGUAAGCGGAAUUCCUAGUGUAGCGGUGAAAUGCGUAGAUAUUAGGAGGAACACCAGUGGCGAAGGCGGCUUACUGGACGGUAACUGACGUUGAGGCUCGAAAGCGUGGGGAGCAAACAGG
rnacentral:rRNA from 1 species